rnacentral:rRNA from 1 species
CCUACGGGAGGCAGCAGUGGGGAAUAUUGCUCAAUGGGCGAAAGCCUGAAGCAGCAACGCCGCGUGGGGGAUGAAGGUCUUCGGAUUGUAAACCCCUUUCGACCGGAACGAAUCCCCUCCUGGUGAACAAUCAGGAGGAUCGACGGUACCGGGAGAAGAAGCCACGGCUAACUCUGUGCCAGCAGCCGCGGUAAGACAGAGGUGGCAAGCGUUGUUCGGAUUUACUGGGCGUAAAGCGCACGCAGGCGGUUUGGUAAGUCAGAGGUGAAAGCCCACGGCUUAACCGUGGAAUUGCCUUUGAUACUGCCUUUCUCGAGUGCAGGAGGGGGAAGCGGAAUUCCCAGUGUAGAGGUGAAAUUCGUAGAUAUUGGGAGGAACACCGGUGGCGAAGGCGGCUUCCUGGCCUGUAACUGACGCUCAUGUGCGAAAGCGUGGGGAGCAAACAGGAUUAGAUACCCUUGUAGUC